UCGUGCUUGCUAUCGCUGACGAGUGGCGGACGGGUGAGUAAUACUUAGGGAUCUGCCUUUUGGUGGGGGAUAACUAUUGGAAACGAUAGCUAAUACCGCAUAAUGUCUACGGACCAAAGGGGGCUUUUGCUCCCGCCUGAAGAUGAACCUAAGCGAGAUUAGCUUGUUGGUGAGGUAAUGGCUCACCAAGGCGACGAUCUCUAGCUGUUCUGAGAGGAAGAUCAGCCACACUGGGACUGAGGCACGGCCCAGACUCCUACGGGAGGCAGCAGUGGGGAAUAUUGCACAAUGGGGGGAACCCUGAUGCAGCCAUGCCGCGUGUGUGAAGAAGGCCCUAGGGUUGUAAAGCACUUUCAGUUGCGAGGAAAGAUUGAUGGUUAAUACCCAUCAGUUGUGACGUUAACAACAGAAGAAGCACCGGCUAACUCCGUGCCAGCAGCCGCGGUAAUACGGAGGGUGCGAGCGUUAAUCGGAAUUACUGGGCGUAAAGCGCACGCAGGCGGUUACAUAAGCCAGAUGUGAAAGCCCCGGGCUUAACCUGGGACGGUCAUUUGGAACUGUGUAACUAGAGUCUUGGAGAGGGGAGUGGAAUUCCAGGUGUAGCGGUGAAAUGCGUAGAUAUCUGGAGGAACAUCAGUGGCGAAGGCGACUCCCUGGCCAAAGACUGACGCUCAUGUGCGAAAGUGUGGGUAGCGAACAGGAUUAGAUACCCUGGUAGUCCACACCGUAAACGCUGUCUACUAGCUGUUUGGACUUUCAUUAGACUGAGUAGCGAAGCUAACGCGCUAAGUAGACCGCCUGGGGAGUACGGCCGCAAGGUUAAAACUCAAAUGAAUUGACGGGGGCCCGCACAAGCGGUGGAGCAUGUGGUUUAAUUCGAUGCAACGCGAAGAACCUUACCUACACUUGACAUGCUGAGAAUUUUCCAGAGAUGGAUUAGUGCCUUCGGGAACUCAGACACAGGUGCUGCAUGGCUGUCGUCAGCUCGUGUCGUGAGAUGUUGGGUUAAGUCCCGCAACGAGCGCAACCCUUGUCUUAGUUGCCAGC
rnacentral:rRNA from 1 species